CAUGGAAGUCACGUGGAAAGAGGAGGAGAGUGUACGAGGGUGGUAGUUGCAAUGGUGGUGGUGGUGGUCGGUGGUACUACUAGAAGAAGAUGUCGGAUCGAAAGAGGGAGACGCUAGGACAUCAUGGAAAAUCAAGGACGGUCACGUGGAUCUGACAGGGUUCCCUUCGCUUUUCUUCCUGGCGCAACAAAGAACAAUGGCGUACGGUGGCCGCACGUAUAGUCCGUCAUUGUUCGUCUCUGGGAGCUCGUUUAAGUACCUACCCAGGACGUUUCGACCCCGCAGAGAGAUAAGAGUCGGCACUCUUUGAUUCUUCUCAUACAUUCGCUAAAGAGAGAAA
rnacentral:lncRNA from 1 species